AGCGAACGCUAGCGGCAGGCUUAACACAUGCAAGUCGAGCGCCAGGUUUCGGCCUGGAGCGGCGAACGGGUGAGUAACACGUAGGUCACGUACCCUAUGGUGGGGAAUACCCCGGGGAAACUCGGAUCAAUGCCCCAUAUGUCCGAAAGGAUGAAAGCGCUUCGGCGCGCCAGGGGAUCGGCCUGCGGCCCAUUAUUUAAUCCUGGUUGGUGAGGUAACGGCCCACCAAGGGUACGAGGGGUAGCUGGUCUGAGAGGACGAUCAGCCACACUGGAACGGAGACACGGUCCAGACGCCUACGGGAGGCAGCAGUGGGGAAUAUUGGACAAUGGGCGAAAGCCUGAUCCAGCCAUGCCGCGUGAGUGAUGAAGGCCUUCGGGUUGUAAAGCUCUGUCGUGGGGGAAGAAGUUCUGACGGUACCCCACAAGAAAGCACCGGCUAACUCCGUGCCAGCCGCCGCAGUAA
rnacentral:rRNA from 1 species